CUUUUAUGGAGAGUUUGAUCCUGGCUCAGGACGAACGCUGGCGGCGUGCCUAAUACAUGCAAGUCGAGCGGACUAAUGGGA
rnacentral:rRNA from 1 species